rnacentral:tRNA from 1 species
GAGCGCGUAGCUCAGUCGGUAGAGCAUCUGACUUUUAAUCAGGGGGUCCUGGGUUCGAGUCCCAGCGCGCUCA